rnacentral:rRNA from 1 species
GAUGAACGCUGGCGGCGUGCUUAACACAUGCAAGUCGAACGGUGAACACGGAGCUUGCUCUGUGGGAUCAGUGGCGAACGGGUGAGUAACACGUGAGCAACCUGCCCCUGACUCUGGGAUAAGCGCUGGAAACGGCGUCUAAUACUGGAUAUGUGACGUGACCGCAUGGUCUGCGUUUGGAAAGAUUUUUCGGUUGGGGAUGGGCUCGCGGCCUAUCAGCUUGUUGGUGAGGUAAUGGCUCACCAAGGCGUCGACGGGUAGCCGGCCUGAGAGGGUGACCGGCCACACUGGGACUGAGACACGGCCCAG